CCUGGCUCAGAACGAACGCUGGCGGCAUGCCUAACACAUGCAAGUCGAACGCCCUCUUUUAGAGGGAGUGGCGCACGGGUGCGUAACGCGUGGGAACCUGCCCUUAGGUUCGGAAUAACUCAGAGAAAUUUGAGCUAAUACCGGAUAAUGUCUUCGGACCAAAGAUUUAUCGCCUUUGGAUGGGCCCGCGUAGGAUUAGAUAGUUGGUGGGGUAAUGGCCUACCAAGUCGACGAUCCUUAGCUGGUCUGAGAGGAUGAUCAGCCACACUGGGACUGAGACACGGCCCAGACUCCUACGGGAGGCAGCAGUGGGGAAUAUUGGACAAUGGGCGAAAGCCUGAUCCAGCAAUGCCGCGUGAGUGAUGAAGGCCUUAGGGUUGUAAAGCUCUUUUACCAGGGAUGAUAAUGACAGUACCUGGAGAAUAAGCUCCGGCUAACUCCGUGCCAGCAGCCGCGGUAAUACGGAGGGAGCUAGCGUUGUUCGGAAUUACUGGGCGUAAAGCGCACGUAGGCGGCUUUUCAAGUCAGGGGUGAAAUCCCGGGGCUCAACCCCGGAACUGCCCUUGAAACUGGAUGGCUAGAAUACUGGAGAGGUGAGUGGAAUUCCGAGUGUAGAGGUGAAAUUCGUAGAUAUUCGGAAGAACACCAGUGGCGAAGGCGAUCUCACUGGACAGUUAUGACG
rnacentral:rRNA from 1 species